rnacentral:lncRNA from 1 species
GAGUCUUAUUUAAUAUUUUUAAAUUAAUUUAGAAUAGAUUAGCAAUCCCUCCUAAUCCCCAGCCUAGAACGAUACCCUACUUACAUCUAUACUACAAUUGUCAAAAAGAGGGUUUAAUUUGUGUGUCAAGUAAUUUUCGCAUCAAAUUUUGGCGCCGUUGCCAGGGAUUAGUAACUUUGCUAAUCCUUUUAUUUUUGUUUUUGUU